GGCCAACAGUUUCUGCUUACGUUUGGGA
rnacentral:sRNA from 1 species